UACAGAGGGGGCAAGCGUUAUUCGGAAUUAUUGGGCGUAAAGGGCGCGUAGGCGGCUUGGCAAGUGGAUGGUGAAAUCCCUCGGCUUAACCGAGGAACUGCCGUCCAAACUGCUUCGCUUGAGACCGGGAGAGGUGAGUGGAAUUCCCAGUGUAGCGGUGAAAUGCGUAGAUAUUGGGAGGAACACCAGUGGCGAAGGCGGCUCACUGGACCGGUACUGACGCUGAUGCGCGAAAGCGUGGGGAGCAAACAGG
rnacentral:rRNA from 1 species